UACAGAGGGUGCGAGCGUUAAUCGGAAUUACUGGGCGUAAAGCGUGCGUAGACGGUUAUUUAAGUCGGGCGUGAAAGCCCCGGGCUCAACCUGGGAAUUGCAUUCGAGACUGAAUAGCUAGGGUACGGUAGAGGGAAGCGGAAUUUCCGGUGUAGCGGUGAAAUGCGUAGAUAUCGGAAGGAACACCGGUGGCGAAGGCGGAUCUCUGGGCCGAUACUGACGCUGAGGAGCGAAAGCGUGGGGAGCGAACAGG
rnacentral:rRNA from 1 species